GCAGGAUGAGGAGACAGACAUGGAAGUGGAGGCUGUACUGCCACAGAAAAGAUUAAAGAAGAAGAAAGCCAUGAUGAGACCUUGGUUGAUGCAGAGAGAGCCUACAAGGUAAAGGUCCAUAACCAAAUUCUUGACACAGCUAUUGAGGCUAUCCGCCGAAGAUUUCUGACACAUGGCACUCUUUAUGUGGAUUUGUCAUUUCUGGAUCCCAAAAACUUCCCCCUGAUCCAAACCAGUGCUCUCCCUAAAUCUGCGCUUGCAGACCUCAGGAAGUGCCUGGUUAAAUUUGACAGUUGACAGUGGGACAAGCUGAAAGAAUCACCAUUGGAUGAAUAUGUGACCAGGACAGUGGAGGAUGGACCCGAUGGAAAGGAAGAGGACAUGGAAAUCGUCAACAAAAGCUGUGCCUCCUGCAAAGAGUGCCCACUGUGCUGCUAUCAAGUUCUCCAGAGAUUCAAUAUGCUCACAGAUGUAUAUCACCUGCUUGGACUUGCGUACAAGUUCUUGCGGACACUUUCAAUAACCCAGGUGGCCUGCGAAUGAUCAUUUUCAACUCUAAAAUACAUAAAAAGCAGACUGAGGAGCAGCCUGUCUGCCAGCAAACUGGAGGCCUUCAUGUUGAUGGCAACUGAAAAGGACAUCCUCGUGGCUUUGGACACAGAUGCUGUAAUUGACAGAGUUGCAGAGAAGAGUGAGCUACUGAGGAAACUGCUGUUAUAGUUAGGAUGUCCACACAGGUCCAUUGUUGUUGAGGGUGUUCAGAGGGCCAUGCAGCCUUUUCCACUAAGUUGCAUUGUUUGAGGAGGAGAUCUUUGAUGUCCAUUGGUGUGGAGUUCACCGGCAACAUUUUGACUUAGUGAAGAUACAAUCCACGCAACUCUGUUUUUUUUAUUUUCUAGAAGAUACUCUGAUCAUCUGAAUCUGUCAUUUAAUCAUAUAUAAUCUAUCAUUGAUCAUGUAUCCUCUCUCUCUCUUUCCCUCUCUUUUCCCGCUCUUUCCCUCUCUCUUCCCCCUCUCUCUCUUCCCCUCUCUCUCUCUUCCCCUUCUCUCUCUCUCGUUCCCUCUCUCUCUCUUAGGAUGCCAUUGCUGUUGAGGGUGUUCAGAGGGCUAUGCAGCCUUUUCCACUAACCCUUUUAAAGGUUGCCUUGUUUGAGGAGGAGAUCUUUGCUGUCCAUUGGUGUGGAG